rnacentral:rRNA from 1 species
GACGAACGCUGGCGGCGUGCUUAACACAUGCAAGUCGAACGGAAAGGCCCUGCUUUUGUGGGGUGCUCGAGUGGCGAACGGGUGAGUAACACGUGAGUAACCUGCCCUUGACUUUGGUAUAACUUCAGGAAACUGGGGCUAAUACCGGAUAGGAUCUCCUGCUGCAUGGUGGGGGUUGGAAAGUUUCGGCGGUUGGGGAUGGACUCGCGGCUUAUCAGCUUGUUGGUGGGGUAGUGGCUUACCAAGGCUUUGACGGGUAGCCGGCCUGAGAGGGUGACCGGCCACAUUGGGACUGAGAGACGGCCCAGACUCCUACGGGAGGCAGCAGGGGGGAAUAUGGCACAAUGGGCGGAAGCCUGAUGCAGAAACGCCGCGUGCGGGAUGACGGCCUUCGGGGUGUAAACCGCUUUCGCCUGUGACGAAGCGUGAGUGACGGUAAUGGGUAAAGAAGCACCGGCUAACUACGUG